GACAGAGGAGCCAAGCGUUGUCCGGAUUGACUGGGCGUAAAGCGUGCGCAGGCGGCUUUGCAAGACAGAUGUGAAAUCCCCGGGCUUAACCUGGGAACUGCAUUUGUGACUGCAUGGCUGGAGUGCGGCAGAGGGGGAUGGAAUUCCGGCGUGUAGCAGUGAAAUGCGUAGAGAUGCGGAGGAACACCGAUGGCGAAGGCAGCCCCCCUGGGCUGACACUGACGCUCAGGCACGAAAGCGUGGGGAGCAAACAGG
rnacentral:rRNA from 1 species